UCAGAGUGAACGCUGGCGGCGUGCUUAACACAUGCAAGUCGAACGAGAACAUGCAGUAGCAAUACUGUGAUGCUAAGUGGCGCACGGGUGAGUAAUGUAUAGGUAACAUGCCCUUAAGAGGGGGAUAACAGAGGGAAACCUCUGCUAAUACCCCAUAACCCUUCUUAUCAUAAGAUAAGUUGGCAAAGUUUUUUCGCUUAAGGAUUGGCCUGUAUAGUAUCAGCUUGUUGGUGAGGUAAUGGCUCACCAAGGCUAUGACGCUUAACUGGUCUGAGAGGAUGAUCAGUCACACUGGAACUGAGACACGGUCCAGACUCCUACGGGAGGCAGCAGUGGGGAAUAUUGCACAAUGGGGGAAACCCUGAUGCAGCAACGCCGCGUGGAGGAUGACACUUUUCGGAGCGUAAACUCCUUUCCUGUUAGAAGAUAAUGACGGUAUAACAGGAAUAAGCACCGGCUAACUCCGUGCCAGCAGCCGCGGUAAUACGGAGGGUGCAAGCGUUACUCGGAAUCACUGGGCGUAAAGAGCGUGUACGCUGUUUAGCAAGUCACAAGUGAAAUCCUAUAGCUCAACUAUAGAACUGCUUUUGAAACUGCUUAC
rnacentral:rRNA from 1 species